GUUGCUUUGACAGAAUAGUGUGAUAGAUUUAGAAUCUAUUUAUGUAGCUUUAAAACUACAAGUAACA
rnacentral:tRNA from 1 species